rnacentral:rRNA from 1 species
GACGAACGCUGGCGGCGUGCUUAACACAUGCAAGUCGAGCGGUAAGGCCCUUUCGGGGGUACACGAGCGGCGAACGGGUGAGUAACACGUGGGUGACCUGCCCUUAGCUCUGGGAUAAGCCUGGGAAACUGGGUCUAAUACCGGAUAUGACUCCAUGACGCAUGCUGUGGGGUGGAAAGCCUUGUGCGGCUAGGGAUGGGCCCGCGGCCUAUCAGCUUGUUGGUGGGGUGAUGGCCUACCAAGGCGACGACGGGUAGCCGGCCUGAGAGGGCGACCGGCCACACUGGGACUGAGACACGGCCCAGACUCCUACGGGAGGCAGCAGUGGGGAAUCUUGCGCAAUGGGCGAAAGCCUGACGCAGCGACGCCGCGUGGGGAUGACGGCCUCGGUU